GAGUUAUAAAUAAAAUAGCAUUUGGCUAACGUUAGCAUAGACGCUUUUUGGUGUACUGUUUCGCGUAAGAAUUGAAAUUUCAACUUUUUUUUGAUAAUUAUUGAUAUUGAGUGUCCAGGGAAUAUUUCUGAAGUGGUUUGAUUCCGAUUGGUUAAAAAUCCUAAGACUAGUUCGCAAAAGUAUGUUUCGGAUAUAGCUCGAUUUUGCGAGAAAACGGUGCGUCGUAGAGCAAAAAAUGCAGCUGUGCACUUUUGUUCGGGCUAACCCAAGGAUUGCAACGAUGCCUUGUUUUUGAGUCUACGGCUAACGGUUUACGAUCUGCGGCCAAAAAUGUCCAAAAUUUUAGUUUUUUGCGCUGUAGCGCCCCCGUUAGGCCGAUUGGGCUAAGACUUUGAUAAGUUCUCCCCAAAAUGAGCUCUACGAUCUGUCCAAAUUUCAGCUCUCUAGGCCUUACGGUUUGGGCUGCACGUUCAGUUCUAGGGCGGAAGAAUAAUAAUAAUAAUAAUUAAAGCUGCAAGCAGCAUUUACCGGGGUUCAAGCACAUUAAGGCCUCUGAGGUGGUCAGAGCCAACCUGGAUGUAUGGAUGACAGUUAAACACAUCCAAAAUGGAGAACAGGCUAACAGACAGACACGCACACUGAAAGUAAAUGAUUAGACUAAUAUAUGUAUACUCUAUAAGCAUAUGCACACACACACACACACACACACACACACACACACACACACAAAGACACACAAAGAUACACAUAUACAUGCACAAACAUUUUGUGGCAGAUAUAGGUAUUUGAUAAAAAGUGAUAGGUGACAAUAAGCUUAUUGCAAGUCUUCUCUUUUUUUAGAGUUUAGAUGUCAUUUUCAGAUUAAACUGUAAUCAUAAUGUGGCAAAAUUGUUAAAACUGAUACAUCUGUAUGAACAAAAUGGAAAACAUCAAUUCAAUGAGAUACAAAAUGUUAUAACAGUUAAUUUAUUAAUGUUUUGGCAUGAAUUCAUAAAAACAGUACUAGCUGAAAGAGCCCAUUAGUGGUCUUCCGCUGCCAUCUAGUGGUUAUAAAUUGCAUUUACUCAAACAACACUGUGUUUUUAAACAUAACUGUUAAAGUGUUGUUGUUGGUUUUUUUUGCCCUAUCUCUCUAAAAUGUUGCAUGCUUGUUUAGAAUGAAAUUAUGCAUUACUUUACACAGUUUUGAUAAUUUGUGGGAUUUCUGUUUGUAUUAAUAGGUCUUUGUGCCUCUGGGGUGGUCUCGGCCAACCAGGAUGUAUGGAUGACAUUUAAAUACAUCCAAAAGACAGACACACACACACUGAAAUUAAAUGAUUAAACUAGUUUUUAAGAGUUUAGAUGUCAUUCAGGUUUCACUGUAAUCACAAUGUGGCAAAAUUGUAAAAAAUGAUGUGUCUGUAUGAACAAAAUGGAAAACAUUGAUUCAAUAAGAUGUAACAUGUUAUAACAGUUAAUUUAUUAAUGUUUUGGCAUGAAUUCAUGAAUCCUUUCUACAGUACUGUUCAUUUUAACUGAAUGAGCCCAUUAGUGGUCUUCCGCUGCCAUCUAGUGGUUAUAAAUUGCAUUUACUGAAACAACACUGUGUUUCUAAACAUAACUGUUAUAGUGUUGUUAUUUUUUUUAUUUUUGCCCAAUCUCUCUUAAAUUUUGCAUGCUUGUUUAGAAUGAAAUCAUGCAUUAUUUUACACAGUUUUGAUCAUUUGUGGGAUUUCUGUUUGUAUUAAUAGGCCUUUGUGUACACUAUGCAAAUAACAUAAUAUAAAAUUACUGGUU